CACACAUUUUUAGCACUGUGUUAGGUAGCUGGAUAGAAAUAAUAUUUCCUACCUGUGGGUUGAAGAGGAAGCUGUAAAAGGAAGGUCACUAAGACUAUGAGAUUUCAUUUUGGUCUUCCAAUAGUACUGUCAUGAUGCAUUCUGUGUGCCUCAAAUUCUGAGCCUAUUCAUCUGUUAGCGGGAAAAUUAUAAAAAAGGACAUCCAUUCAAGGAGGGAAAACAAUGAGCCACUAUACAGUUGAGAGUGUUUGCAAGAGAAGGAAAAAAGAUGUUUAGUCGAUU